rnacentral:rRNA from 2 species
ACGAGUACUUGUACUUGGUGGCGACCGGCGCACGGGUGCGUAACGCGUAUGCAACCUACCUUAUACUGAGGGAUAGCCCAGAGAAAUUUGGAUUAAUACCUCAUAGUAUCAUUUGAAGGCAUCUGAGAAUGAUUAAAGAUUUAUCGGUAUAAGAUGGGCAUGCGUAAGAUUAGUUAGUUGGUGAGGUAACGGCUCACCAAGACUUCGAUCUUUAGGGGUUCUGAGAGGAUGAUCCCCCACACUGGCACUGAGAUACGGACCAGACUUC